rnacentral:misc_RNA from 1 species
CUUCCGGUUAAAGCUUUUAACCUACUGAAGCCUGACGUGGGCGACUAUAAAAAUAACCAUGGAGUUCGGUCUUCAAUGGGCUGGACAACACUGCUGAAAUGCUGUGAUCAACUAUUGUUGUACCAGCAACCCUCUCAUAGGGUCCACAGAUCAAGCCGCGGUGAUCCCACCUAGAAUAUUUAGGUGGGACUAUAAUAUGACCGGUCUCGCCUGGGAUGGCUGAGAGAAUAUGUUCCGUAGGUGAACCUGC